AGAGUUUGAUCAUGGCUCAGAUUGAACGCUGGCGGCAGGCCUAACACAUGCAAGUCGAACGGUAACAGGAAGCAGCUUGCUGCUUCGCUGACGAGUGGCGGACGGGUGAGUAAUGUCUGGGAAGCUGCCUGAUGGAGGGGGAUAACUACUGGAAACGGUAGCUAAUACCGCAUAAUGUCGCAAGACCAAAGAGGGGGACCUUCGGGCCUCUUGCCAUCGGAUGUGCCCAGAUGGGAUUAGCUUGUUGGUGGGGUAACGGCUCACCAAGGCGACGAUCCCUAGCUGGUCUGAGAGGAUGACCAGCCACACUGGAACUGAGACACGGUCCAGACUCCUACGGGAGGCAGCAGUGGGGAAUAUUGCACAAUGGGCGCAAGCCUGAUGCAGCCAUGCCGCGUGUAUGAAGAAGGCCUUCGGGUUGUAAAGUACUUUCAGCGGGGAGGAAGGGAGUAAAGUUAAUACCUUUGCUCAUUGACGUUACCCGCAGAAGAAGCACCGGCUAACUCCGUGCCAGCAGCCGCGGUAAUACGGAGGGUGCAAGCGUUAAUCGGAAUUACUGGGCGUAAAGCGCACGCAGGCGGUUUGUUAAGUCAGAUGUGAAAUCCCCGGGCUCAACCUGGGAACUGCAUCUGAUACUGGCAAGCUUGAGUCUCGUAGAGGGGGGUAGAAUUCCAGGUGUAGCGGUGAAAUGCGUAGAGAUCUGGAGGAAUACCGGUGGCGAAGGCGGCCCCCUGGACGAAGACUGACGCUCAGGUGCGAAAGCGUGGGGAGCAAACAGGAUUAGAUACCCUGGUAGUCCACGCCGUAAACGAUGUCGACUUGGAGGUUGUGCCCUUGAGGCGUGGCUUCCGGAGCUAACGCGUUAAGUCGACCGCCUGGGGAGUACGGCCGCAAGGUUAAAACUCAAAUGAAUUGACGGGGGCCCGCACAAGCGGUGGAGCAUGUGGUUUAAUUCGAUGCAACGCGAAGAACCUUACCUGGUCUUGACAUCCACGGAAGUUUUCAGAGAUGAGAAUGUGCCUUCGGGAACCGUGAGACAGGUGCUGCAUGGCUGUCGUCAGCUCGUGUUGUGAAAUGUUGGGUUAAGUCCCGCAACGAGCGCAACCCUUAUCCUUUGUUGCCAGCGGUCCGGCCGGGAACUCAAAGGAGACUGCCAGUGAUAAACUGGAGGAAGGUGGGGAUGACGUCAAGUCAUCAUGGCCCUUACGACCAGGGCUACACACGUGCUACAAUGGCGCAUACAAAGAGAAGCGACCUCGCGAGAGCAAGCGGACCUCAUAAAGUGCGUCGUAGUCCGGAUUGGAGUCUGCAACUCGACUCCAUGAAGUCGGAAUCGCUAGUAAUCGUGGAUCAGAAUGCCACGGUGAAUACGUUCCCGGGCCUUGUACACACCGCCCGUCACACCAUGGGAGUGGGUUGCAAAAGAAGUAGGUAGCUUAACCUUCGGGAGGGCGCUUACCACUUUGUGAUUCAUGACUGGGGUGAAGUCGGAACAAGGUAACCGUAGGGGAACCUGCGGUUG
rnacentral:rRNA from 1 species